AUAUCUUAUUACCACGUCUUUGGUUAGAUUAUGUAUUUAUGAAAUUCCUAUUUCUCAAUUAAUUUUUAUCUGCCUAUUUUGCUUCAUUUUUGGUUGUUGCAGGUAUCUUAUUGAAGAACAGAGUUAAUAUUGCUAGUGGCACUCCAAGUAGAAUCAAAAAGUUAAUUGACAUUGAGGCAUUGGGGCUUUCACGUUUAUCAGUACUUCUGCUUGAUAUUCGCACAGAUGUCAAAGGCUAUUCCUUGCUUACACUUCCCCAAGUCAGAGAUGAGUUCUGGGACUUGUAUAAGAACUACUUUCACCAGCAAGUCGUUCAAGGCGAUCUGCGCAUCUGUCUUUAUGGUCCGAUUCCAAAUGGUAAUGAAUUUAAGGGAAAAAGUGUAGAAUUAGCUGAAGGAGAUAAAGAACCCUAGAUUCAUUAAAAAAAUAUGGUGUUGUGCAUGUAUCAUGCAUUUUUGUUUUAGAAAAAGGUUAAGUUACAUAAUUUUUAUCGUCAUCCUUUGUUUAGAAAUCUAUUAUUCAUGAAUUUCACUUUCA